GAUAAAGGAUGCCCACUGGAGCUGGAAAUGAUGGAUCAGGUGGAUCCACACUUGAACCAUCUGUAUGAUGAUCUGCACCCACUGGAUCUGUAAAUGGUGGUGCAGAAAGACACAGCACAUCAUUAUAUCGUUGGCUCCGCCCACUGGUGUUCAGUCUAAAGUAGUAGUUGUUGACAAUCAUAAAGUUGUAAUAACAGUAAGAUUGUGAUGUCAGACAAACAUUGUGCUGUUGCUGGCUGUGGGAAAUUAGUGUCUUUGUAAGGGUCGCAAAUAAUUUGAAAAUAUUUAUGUUUCUAAAUAUGCCCCCCUACCAUGAACUAAACUGGACUGUUGCAGAGACCAAGUGUAGUAGGGUACACUACUAUGCAGGUGACAUUCUUUUGUUUAUUGAAGCUAUGACAAAUAAUUUGUCUGUUUAGUUAAUGUUUUAUACAGUGUAACUGUACCUAAACAUUGUUCCUUGAGGUCCUCUGCUAUUUACAUUUUGUAUGUCUUCCUUAUUUAACACACCUUAUUCAAAUCAUCAGCUCAUUAGUAGAGAUCUUCAUGAACUGAACUGAGGCUGUGUCCAAAUUUUCACACUUGUUGUCU